CCCAGCUUCGCGAAGGCUCUCCGCGCGCCGCGGCCCGCAGGCACCCGGCACGCGCCCUCCCCGCCGCCAAGAUGCCCAAGAGGAAGGUCAGCUCGGCCGAAGGCGCGGUGAAGGAAGAGCCCAAGAGGAGAUCUGCGCGGCUGUCAGCUAAACCUGCUCCUGCGAAAGUGGAAACGAUGCCCAAAAAGGCAGCAGCAAAGGAUAAAUCUUCAGACAAAAAAGUGCAACCAAAAGGGAAAAGGGGAGCAAAGGGAAAACAGGCCGAAGGGGCUAACCAAGAAACUAAAGAAGAUUUACCUGCAGAAAAUGGAGAAACUAAAACUGAGGAGAGUCCAGCCUCUGAUGAAGCAGGAGAGAAAGAAGCCAAGUCUGAUUAAUAUCAUAUACCAUGUCUUAAUCAGUGGUCCUUGUCUCCUUUCUUGUACAAUCCAAAGGAAUAUUUUUAUC